GACGAACGCUGGCGGCGUGCUUAACACAUGCAAGUCGAACGAUGUGGCGAACGGGUGAGUAACGCGUAAUCAACCUGCCCUUCAGCGGGGGACAACAUUUGGAAACGACUGCUAAUACCGCAUCCUGAAGGAGGGGUUUGCGUCUGAUUAGCUAGUUGGCGAGGUAAAGGCCCACCAAGGCGAUGAUCAGUAGGCGGUCUUGGGGGAUGGACCGCCACAAUGGGACUGAGAAAACGCCCAGAAUUCUAACGGAGGGAGGCAGGGGGGAACUUUCGAAAUGGAAGGAAGGUCGGCUGAGCAAAGGCGGCGUAAGGAUGAAGGGCUUCGGGUUGGAAAGGUUUUGUUAUCGGGACACGGUACCGAAAUAGAAAGCCACGGCUAACUACGUGCCAGCAGCCGCGGUAAUUC
rnacentral:rRNA from 1 species